rnacentral:rRNA from 1 species
CUGCUGUCUUAUUUUGUUGGUUUCUAAGACACAGUAAUGAUUAAUAGGGAUAGUUGGGGGUGUUAAUACUUCAUAGUCAGAGGUGAAAUUCUUGGAUUUAUGAAAGAUUAACUUCUGCGAAAGCAUUCACCAAGGAUGUUUUCAUUAAUCAAGAACGAAAGUGUGGGGAUCGAAGGCGAUUAGAAACCGCCCUAGUCUACACCAUAAACGAUGCCAACUCGGGAUUGGAGGAAGAAUCUUUUCAAUAUCCUUCAGCACCGUAUGAGAAAUCAAAGUUUUCGGGUUCUGGGGGGAGUAUGGUCGCAAGGCUGAAACUUGAAGAAAUUGACGGAAGGGCACCACCAGGUGUGGAACAUGCGGCUCAAUUUGACUCAACACGGGGAAACUCAC